GAAGGCACAAGAUCUCUCAUUAC
rnacentral:piRNA from 1 species